AUUGAACGCUGGCGGCAGGCCUAACACAUGCAAGUCGAGCGGAUGAAGGGAGCUUGCUCCUGGCUUCAGCGGCGGACGGGUGAGUAAUGCCUAGGAAUCUGCCUGGUCGUGGGGGAUAACGUCCGGAAACGGGCGCUAAUACCGCAUACGUCCUGAGGGUGAAAGUGGUGGAUCUUCGGACCUCACGCUAUCAGAUGAGCCUAGGUCGGAUUAGCUAGUUGGUUGGGUAAAGGCCUACCAAGGCGACGAUCCGUAACUGGUCUGAGAGGAUGAUCAGUCACACUGGAACUGAGACACGGUCCAGACUCCUACGGGAGGCAGCAGUAGGGAAUAUUGGACAAUGGGCGAAAGCCUGAUCCAGCCAUGCCGCGUGUGUGAAGAAGGUCUUCGGAUUGUAAAGCACUUUAAGUUGGGAGGAAGGGCAGUAAGUUAAUACCUUGCUGUUUUGACGUUACCAACAGAAUAAGCACCGGCUAACUUCGUG
rnacentral:rRNA from 1 species